CAGCAGCCACGGUAAUACGAAGGGUGCAAGCGUUAAUCGGAAUUACUGGGCGUAAAGCGUGCGUAGGCGGUGAGUUAAGUCUGCUGUGAAAUCCCCGGGCUCAACCUGGGAAUGGCAGUGGAUACUGGCUCGCUAGAGUGUGUCAGAGGAUGGUGGAAUUCCCGGUGUAGCGGUGAAAUGCGUAGAGAUCGGGAGGAACAUCAGUGGCGAAGGCGGCCAUCUGGGACAACACUGACGCUGAGGCACGAAAGCGCGGGGAGCAAACAGGAUUAGAUACCCCCGUAGUCCCUGUCUCUUAUAC
rnacentral:rRNA from 1 species